CCCAAGCUCAGCUUCAAUGAAACGGUUGAGAAGAUCAUUUAGUAGUGUUGGAGGGUCAGAUGAGCACAGUGCUUGGCUCUAACAUGGAUGAGCUGAAUAUACAGUCAGACAAAGAGAACUGUAAAAUGUGAUCAGCUUACAAAUUCCAUGGGACCAGAUGGAAGAGAUGGAUAAUAACACUCAAAGACAUAUCCCGCAGUUAUGUAGAGGAUCAAUUACUCCAAAGAAAUUCCACAGGAGCAAUGUGACCUAGUAUCCCCAUUGUGAUAUCUGGGAUUUGGACAUUUUCUGUGAUCAAAUGAACAGCAGGGGAUUAGCUGAGUGUUUGCAAUAAAUGUCUUUUGCCUUA